AGAGUUUGAUCCUGGCUCAGGAUGAACGCUGGCGGCGUGCCUAACACAUGCAAGUUGAGCGAUUUACUUCGGUAAAGAGCGGCGGACGGGUGAGUAACGCGUGGGUAACCUACCCUGUACACACGGAUAACAUACCGAAAGGUAUGCUAAUACGGGAUAAUAUAUUUGAGAGGCAUCUCUUGAAUAUCAAAGGUGAGCCAGUACAGGAUGGACCCGCGUCUGAUUAGCUAGUUGGUAAGGUAACGGCUUACCAAGGCGACGAUCAGUAGCCGACCUGAGAGGGUGAUCGGCCACAUUGGAACUGAGACACGGUCCAAACUCCUACGGGAGGCAGCAGUGGGGAAUAUUGCACAAUGGGCGAAAGCCUGAUGCAGCAACGCCGCGUGAGUGAUGAAGGCCUUCGGGUCGUAAAACUCUGUCCUCAAGGAAGAUAAUGACGGUACUUGAGGAGGAAGCCCCGGCUAACUACGUGCCAGCAGCCGCGGUAAUACGUAGGGGGCUAGCGUUAUCCGGAUUUACUGGGCGUAAAGGGUGCGUAGGCGGUCUUUCAAGUCAGGAGUGAAAGGCUACGGCUCAACCGUAGUAAGCUCUUGAAACUGGGAGACUUGAGUGCAGGAGAGGAGAGUGGAAUUCCUAGUGUAGCGGUGAAAUGCGUAGAUAUUAGGAGGAACACCAGUUGCGAAGGCGGCUCUCUGGACUGUAACUGACGCUGAGGCACGAAAGCGUGGGGAGCAAACAGGAUUAGAUACCCU
rnacentral:rRNA from 1 species